rnacentral:sRNA from 1 species
GUUUGCUAUAAUAAAUUUCAACUUCCUUAGUCAAUAGAUUAAGGAGGUUAUCUCCUUUGUGUUGUUUACAAUAAACAAACAAAAUUUUCGCUCGAAUGCACGUCCAGUACCUAGUCCUUACUGUUUACGUGUAUCAAAUUCAUUUCCCGUAAAAGACCAAGUAAUGAUUGUGUCUCCCCACAUUCAUAUACUUGGUCUUU